GACAGCUCACACUCACAAGCUGUAAAAUAAAUUAAUGCCAUAACGUAUUGAAAUUGUUUUGUUUUGUUACAGGGAUCCCAGGUGAUGAAAACAGAAGGACAAGGACAUUAUGAACUACGGCCUGAAGUUGCACCAGUAAUAAUCGGUGUACAUAAUCCUCAAUUGUUGGAAUCCAGACAGUGGCCAUAUUAGGUGUGGAGCAGAGAUGUACUGCCUUGGCUUCAGAAAUAGUUACAAAAUCUAUUCUGAAACAUUUGGAGACGUAAGGUGUGGAGGUAUUAUGAACUUAAGUGACCAAGUCUACUGUGCCAGGCCUUUCUUUAACAGCUGGUAAAUUAUUCAACAAACACAUAAGUUACCUGCAUAUAAAAAAAUAUGAAACUAAUUUCUUUGCUCAAAAAUUUAUAUGAUUUAAUAAUGUGCUGAGCCAGGCACCAUCAUCAUAAUCUUUCUUUUAAAUACAUUGUUUUGUCAAUCUGAUAAAAGUCAAGAUGAGCAUGCAAUUAUUGAUUGUAAUGUUAUCCAGCUUUUAGCACAUUUAAAUGAAAUUUUCUUCGUGACGUAGGAGUACAAAAAUAAUGUACAAAUAUUCAACAUAUUCACAAAACAAAGUGGUUGAUGUUCAUCUUGCAGGAACGGGGAAUUUAUUUCGUGUAUGGAAAUGAGUUAUUGUCUGUUUCUCUGCAUGAUGUUGAAGAAUAAACUGUAACAUAUUAUUUGUCUUUUCCUUUUUAAAGAGCGAUGUUUCCAGAGCAUCUAAUGCAAGUGAAUAACUCAGAAAAGGACAGUGUAGUACAGAUGAUUCAUAAUAAAUGAAAACUAGCACUGGCCAAAACAGCCAAGUCCAAAAUUACGGUUUGCAGGGCAUUGAUACAUAAUUUAUUUUGCAAAACACAAGUGAAUUACGCUUUGAUCUUCUUACAGUGUUUGUCGGCAAUAAAUAGCUCUUGACAAACACAUAAAUGGUUCCGUGACAAAAGCCCACAUGAAAAUUCCGCAAAGAAAAAAUCCCACAGUUAUAAAUGCUAAUGUGCAAAAUGUUCACAUUGAAAAAUACUCACACGGAUAAUUGUUUACAAGGAUAAAUGCUCAUACGGACGAAUUCUCACACAGAAAAAUGCGCACGUAGAAAAAUUCUCACAUUCAUAAUACUAUCAAGUAAUACAGUCUUAAUAAAGCGUAAUGUGCAUGCUAUGAUGUUUAGUUCAAACUUACUAUACAUACUAACCUAACCUAACCUACCCUUUGCCUCGUUAGCCACAUUUGUUUUUGUAAACUAAAUAAUGUGAGAAUUAUUCUAUGUUCGUAUUUUUUCGUGUGAGCAUUUAUGACAGUGGGUUCUUUUCUGUGCGCAAUCUUCGUGCGGAAUUUCUUCAUGUGCGCAUUUAUUUGGUCAUCCACGGAAAUAUGCUGCUUCUUCUGGUGAUGCGUACAGAAAUGUAAAGUGACUUAUUUAAAAUACUUUGACUUGUACUGCAAUAAAGCAUAGGUCAAACAAAGUAACAAUUCUCAUUGAUGUCAUUUUCAGGAGCAAAAAUAAGCAGAAUGUUUUGAUUUUGCUACAGACCAAUGUUUCUCAGAUUUGUUUGUUCACAGAAUAUCAAACCACAAUAAGAACUGCAGAUAUACAAUGAACAUGGAUAUAGACAAGGGGAAAAAACUUUCUGUAGCAUAUCCGGAAAUUAUGAAAAGAAACGUUAAACAUUUAUUAAUGCAAACUUUUCCACUAUUAAAAAUAAACUUAUUAUAAGAUAGCUGGAUUUUUGUGAGAUGCCAACGAUUUGACAACUGAAGGCAUUCUCAUUCUAAAAGAUAAGAGCUUAAUUAAUUUCAUCAGACGACAUAUUAAUGGUUAUGAAUUACACGGAAGAAGUAAUCAAGAAAACUUCUAAUGACUUUAAUGCAGUUAUAUGUAUGAAUAUUACUGUUAUAUAUGUAUGAACAAAAUAUAGAAAGGUUUAUACAACUCAAAAUGUUUCAUAUCAAACAGCAGAAUUCAGGAAAGUAACAUUAUGAAACAAUCAAACUUUUAUUUCCUAGUAGAACUACACAUAAUAAAGUUUUAUCAGCAAACGCUUUCCUGCAAACUAAAUUAAUCUCUUAAUAGAUAGAAUAAGAAAUGAAGACAUUAGGAAACAAUUUAAUAUUUUUAAUGUAAUUGACAAAAUUGGAGAAUGUAGAAGAAAAUGUAAAGAACAUGUUGAACGGAUGCCUGAGGAAAGACUACCUAAUGUUGCAUUCAGUUACAAACCUAGCCGGAAAAGAGAUCGAGGUCGACCACGAAGAACAUGGAAAGAUCAAUUUGAAGCCUGAAUAGGCAUUAGUGCCUAAUCCUUGACGAUGAUGAUGACAAGAAAACAAAAAACCCUUUCAAGAAUUUCAUAAAUAAAAUUACAAUAAUGAACUCAUGUGAAAAAUGUUUCUGUACGUCCAUCAUCUCACCUUUAUGACAUAAUGUAAUGGAAUUUUAUAUGAUAAAAUAUAUUGACAGAGUACGAAUAUUGUCCAAUGGU